rnacentral:rRNA from 1 species
UACAUGGGGUGCAAACGUUGCUCGGAAUCAUUGGGCGUGAAGCGCGCGUAGGCGGUUACUUAAGUUGGAUGUGAAAGCCCUCGGCUUAACCGAGGAAGUGCAUCCAAAACUGAGUAGCUAGAGUACGAAAGAGGGUCGCGGAAUUCCCGGUGUAGAGGUGAAAUUCGUAGAUAUCGGGAGGAACACCGGUGGCGAAGGCGGCGACCUGGGUCGAGACUGACGCUGAGGCGCGAAAGCGUGGGGAGCAAACAGG